rnacentral:rRNA from 1 species
AUGGCUAGUGUCAACAUUAUUAUCCUUGCUGUGUCCGCCUUGCUCUUCUCCUCGGUGCUCGCACUCUACCUUCCCACCGCCGCCUGCGCUCGCCACGACGCCGUGCUCAACCCCAAAGAUGGCCUGAACUCUGCAGGAGGACUGCAUCACGUGGUGGUUAGUGGCGCGGGGAAGGCUGGCCCCGUAACUGGCGCCGGCGGCGGGUCAGGGCCUACAACGGCGGAGAUGCGCGCGGACGAUGCGGACGCUGAGAUGCAAGGCCUGCUCGAGACGGAUUACGCCUGGAGGUGGGGGAAGCGACCGCGCACCCCGCCAUCGAGGUCGAAAUGA